rnacentral:lncRNA from 1 species
AUGUUUGUCCGUUUCUGUCUCAGGACGUCCUGUAGUUUGUCUCUGACCUCUGACACAGCCGCUGUCACAUCCUCAAAGUACCUCAGAGGACGGAUGCUGAUGCUGGAUGAGCGUGUGGACUCACUGAGUGCCGACAUUGCGAUUUAUAACCGCCACCUCUCGCCGAAGCACCUUCACGUCUUUCGCCCUGUCUCGGAUUCUCUGCUGGAUGUUUCGUCGACUCGCCUCGAGCUCUCUCUGCCUCUCGGUCCUCUCUGCUGCAGCUGAAACUGUGUCGUGGCCUUUGUGUUGAUCCAUGGAGCAGAGAUAACAGAUGCACUGCUGAUCAGUACGGCAGUAGAUCUUCAUCACCUCGUCGUGACGGGAGCAGAUGUUCUCCUGGAGCUUCUCGGAGGGAUUCACCAGCUUGUGGUUUUUAAAUGUCAGUGAUUCAUAAUGAGGCUGGAGGUGUCCUUCGCAGAAAGACGCCAGGCAGACCACACAGGACUUGAGGGCUUUCAGUUUUCUCCCAGUGCAGAAAUCACAGGCUACAUCUUCGGGUCCAGCGUAGCGGCGAUCAGAAGGAGCAGCUUGGAGUCCAGUCCAGUCCUUCUUCAGCUCCUCCACUAACUCUGCUAACAUGGUGUUUUUCAGCAGGACAGGCCUCUGCGUGAAGGUCUUCCUGCACUGAGGGCAGCUGUGGAUUCGCUUCGCUUCCUCCGUGUCCCAGUGGGAUUCAAUACAGGUCAUGCAGUAGUUGUGUCCACAGGGAAUAGUCACCGGAUCCUUCAGUAGGUCCAAACAGAUCGAACAAGAAAUCAUUUCCCCGUCCAGCCCGAGUCCUUUCUGCGCCAUUUCACCUUUUUGGGUAGCAGCAGCUGACUGAGUUUUACUUCUUUUAGAGCUUAAACUAGUUUGAGUUUUGAUCUAAUAGCCGUGUACGUGGGACACUGCUGCUCUUCACUGCACGCUGGUUCCUCAAACUGUGGAUGUGAUGAGGAGGGAACAGGGAAAUAUAUGCUGUGUUUGAGAUAAGAGAAAGGAGGGAGUGGCUGUCCACCUUUGACCCAUCCCAGGGACAGGAGCAGCUCUGUGAACCCGACCUUUAUUUCCUCAUUAGACUCACUUAAAACCUCAUUACAGUUUUUAUCAGCAAUGAAAAUAAAAACAAACACUGACACUGAUGAUAAAUGUAAUAAAAUGUGAAUACUGGAUGCAAUAAUCAGUCGGCCUGAUACUUGCAGUACUGACUGUGAGUGAAUUUAAAAUAUACUUCUAUUGAAGCACUGUUUUAGUGACUUCUGCUUUUACCAAAGUAAACAUUGUGUCUUUACUGCCUGGUUCUGAGGAAGUCCAAUACUCAAGUCCAGAGUGUCUUCAUGGGUGAGACUGGAUUAAAUGUUGAGCUGAAGUCAACAAACAGAGCUGCUGCAGGUUCUUGAUUAAUAUAAACCUGCUGGAGAGGAACCAGGACUUAGACUCUGUCAUCUGUUUUUGU